rnacentral:lncRNA from 1 species
UUAAAACCCUAAUCCCCCUCCCCAUUCAAAAGGGACAGAAUCGAAUCUUAGACUACAUUUAGAGAAGAGGCUGCGCAGCUUUGAACACAAAAGAACACUUAAAAAAUAACCCAUAGAAAAGAUUCACCGUUCUGCUUCUGCUUGAACCAAAACGAGGAGCUUCUUCUUCAGAGAAGACGCCAAGACGCAUCCACGAUCCAGUCACUCAUACAAAAAUGAAAAUACUUUAUUUUCUUCUUGCAUCUUCGUGACUCUCGUCUCAAAAAUCAGAGGCAUCGUUUUCUGUUUUUUGUUCCAGAAUGGAGAUUGUUUUACUUUUGAAAUCGAGGUACUGCCAGUUGGUUUUCCGGUUUGAUUGAGGUGUCGUUCGAAGUUGGUUCAUUCGAGUUCCAUCCGUCUUCAAUUUCGGCGUUAGCAGGUUGACUUACGUUUCUUGUGUAAUUGCUAAACACUUCCUUUAAUUGAAAGCUUGAUUUUCAGUUUCACAAUUUGUUUUUCCCAUCUUAUUUAAUUUUAUUAGAUCUCCGUUACCUGUGAUUUCGAAUUUGUUUUGCUUGGAGAUACUGGGGAUUGCGAUCUAAUGUGAUUUUGUGAUCGUUGAGUUAGUAUUCGAAUCUAUCGAGCCUCACAUGAACAUGCCUUAUGUUUGAUUAGUUUUCUUGCUAGAAGUUCAAUUGAGUCGAGUUUGAAGUUUUCCUAACUCACUUGUCGACGUAGCUCUUAGUGGUAAAACGACUUACUUUCUGUAUUGAGGGAAACAUUAGAGUUGGAAAACAACCUUUCUGCGUAGAUGAAUGAGAGUGUAUUUUCCUUCAUCUAUGUAUUUGCUGUAAUCUUCAUUAAUUAAAGACCAUUGAAGGUUCAAUUCUUCUUUCCUCUAAAUGUUACUGUUUAAUUAUUUGUGAAUACAAGUAAAAUGGAAAUUGCUUGAAUUAGUUGGUCUGUUCGCUUUAUAUGUUAUCGCCUCGGCUGUUUGGAUUAGAACUUGGUUUUUAAUUCAUGUAUUGUUGGUUCAAGGAGGACUCUUGUGAUUCCAGGUUGAAUCUGAAUCCUUUUUAGGUUUGUGUUUUACCAUUGUUGAGCUCCUAAGUUGAUGUUGCUUUGCUAAAUAUUUUGAACUCCUUUCUCACAUCCUAGAUGUUGGUUGUUUUUGUUUGUUGCUUAUAUUUCCUGCUAGAAGCUAACUCAUCUAACUCACCUUCAUCUGGUGUUACUUUUUGUUAAAUACAUUGCAUUGUAGUUGUAAAGGUGUUGAAUGGCUUUGUUGCAAGAAACGUUUUUGUCAAUUGUCCUUGGUAUAAUCUUUAGCUUGUAAUCUCCAUCAAGGAAGAAAGCAAUUCUGAUCCUUAAUUGGAGUAUCUGGACGUCCUUUAAGCGUGUUCUCAUACUUGGAAAUCAGAAUGCUUUAGGAAAUUUCUUUCUUUACUAAGUUCAUGAUGUUGAAAGUUCCAAUCAGGUGUUACAUGGAUGUGCAAUAUUAGUAAAACAAAUUCAUGAAUAUCCGUAGUUUGUUUUAGUUGAGUAAAGCCUUUUGGAAUAAUUUGAGGCACGCUGCGCCAAAUAAAAUCAUGAAUUGCAUGGCCAUCAUUUUAAUUAAUUUUGAUUUAAUCCUUAGAAUUCGAGGCGUGUCGUUUAGUGAAAUUUAUAUUGCCCUCGCAAAGUUAUAACACGUUAGUUGCUUUAGGCGUGCAUUUUAAUAAUAUUACCUUAUAAACUCGGGUGUGCAUUUCAUGUGGCCUAAAUUCAAAUCUCAAAACGUUGAAUAAAAUGUGUCGAGGAUCCGGGUGCAUUUCAUGUGAUGUGAUCCAAAUACACAUUUUAAACGACGUUAAAUUAAAAACGGUAAACAAUUUCAAAUUGCAUUAUAGGAUAACAUGUAUUAAAAUCAGAUUUUAGCCGAAUAUAAUAGUUGAGUGACCGUGCUAGAACCAUGAAAUUCGGGAGUGCCUAACAUCUUCUUCCAGGUUAAUAGAAUUCCUUACCCGGAUUUCUGGUUCGUAGACUAUAAUAACAGAGUCAAACCUUUCUCGAUUCGGUUUUUAAACCGGUGACUUGGGACACCAUUAUUUAUCCCAAGUGGCAACUCUGAAAUCUCUUAAAUAAUCAGACCCCUUUCGAUUGUCCUUAAAUCGGAAAAACUCCCUUCGUCGAGGUUGUAGUGUCCAAAAGGAGGUGUGACAGCUUUAGACUCUGCUGGGGAGAAAACCUAGAAUCUCUUGUUCAGGGUCAAGAAUUUGAGCUUUGAAUAACUGUUAUAUUUGGCUUUCUGAUUUUCCUAUAUGUUCCAUGAUGUAUGUGCUAAAUGCUUUACCGCUUUGAUAUUUGUUGAACUGUAUAUAAACUGCUACGAAACCCUUCCUCUCUUUGAGUCUUCUAAAUCAUGGAGAAGGGUGCACUUCAUGUGACUUCUUUUCUAUUUCGAGUUUUAUCCCAAUUUUAAAAUGAGGUUCGGAUAACCUGCUAAGCCAACGGAGUUUCUGUAUCCCCGGUACGCUGCCCCCAACCCCCGGGCCCGUGUUGUCCGCUCGGAUGAGCCAGGUCUAGAACAAUAAACCCAAGGCUUAAACUUAGUAUAACAAAACCUCAUGCUGAAUCCCUAGUAGGAACGUUUGUUUACAUCAUGUGCACUUGACUUAGAGGACUCAACACAGGGGUUGGAUCCGUUUAGGACAGGUAUACCCGAAAUAACAGACCAUCUUGAUGCAUCCUAUAUGCUAUAUGUUGCAUUUUUUCAAGGUGAACGGGUCAUUUCGCUAACCAAUGAUUGUUGAGGGUAAUUAAAAACAAAAUGAGGAAAAACAAAUGAAAAAAGGGUGAGUGAAAAUAAAGCAAGUAGGGUCUAGUAUGUUUUUGUUAUAUUUUUUUUUUUAAAAAAGAGACAAAGAUAUAUGAAAAAUUCAAAAAAUAUUUUGCUCUUUUUCAUCAUUUCCCGAAAAUAAAAAAAAUCUAAAAAGAGUUUAUAUAUUUCAUCAUUUUUCAAAAAAAAGAGACAAAAGAAAAUAUUUUCUUUAAAAAAUUAGCUGUUUUUUUAAUUCUUGCUCGUAUCCAAUUUGCCCGAACUACGCAAACCUGAUUCUCGUAUUUCGAGGCGUGAUACGUAGGCAACUCACAUAGGGUCCGAUCAUCCUGGUAAACCUUAGGUUCUUGGCUUUGGCAGGGUCUCAGCUAAAUUUUGCACCUCUAGCCUUUUUUGGUUAAAUAUGUUAUUUUGCAAAAAUAAUCGCAACCUUAGGUUGUAUGUGUCUAAGAGGGAAUGUUAUUAUCUCAGAUAGUGUUGGUUUAAGUUUUUUCAUACAGGUAUGGAUCUACUUACCGGAGUUUGAGCAUCACAGAUACCCAAGGACCAUUGCAUUCAUG